CGUAGGUGGCAAGCGUUGUCCGGAUUUAUUGGGUUUAAAGGGUGCGUAGGGGGUCUAUUAAGUCAGUGCUGAAAUAUCCCGGCUUAACCGGGAGGGUGGCAUUGAUACUGAUGGACUUGAGUGGAGUUGAGGUAGGCGGAAUUGACGGUGUAGCGGUGAAAUGCUUAGAUAUCGUCAAGAACACCAAUAGCGAAGGCAGCUUACUAAGCUCUAACUGACACUGAUGCACGAAAGUGUGGGGGAUCAAACAGGAUUAGAUACCCUGGUAGUCCACACUGUAAACGUUGAUUACUCGAUGUUGGCGAUACACAGUCAGCGUCUUAGCGCAAGCGAUAAGUAAUCCACCUGGGGAGUACGCCGGCAACGGUG
rnacentral:rRNA from 1 species